AAAGUUGCGAAAUUUCUCAGAAACGACGAAGAGAUUCUGUUACAUUAUUUGGGGAAGCUAUUCGUCCCAUUGAGGAUACCAAAGGACAAUCACUGGAAGAAGCCCUUUUUGCAGUAUUAGAAUGUCCGGUGUGUUUAUCGGUGAUUUUACCACCUGUAGGGGAGUGUUUUAACGGUCACAAGCUUUGCAAUUACUGUUUUGAGCGAGUGAAAGACUGCCCCAUAUGCAGAAUACCAAAGACAUAUGUCAUAAACUUCAUUCUGGGGAAAAUUUUUGGAAUGGUAGUAAUAUCUUGCAGAAAUGCCCGCGGAGGUUGUGAAAUACGAGGAAGUGCCCCAUCUGUCCUAAAACACGAGAGGUCUUGUAAUUUCGUCGUGAAGUGUUGCCCACUCACGGUGGAUGGAUUCUGCAAAUGGCAGGGUGCGGUGCGUCAUUUGGUGGAGCACUGCAAAAGUACUCAUUCUGACAGGCUUACCAUAACAAGAGACUCUAAGUGUAUUUUUGGAAAAUUCGAAAACCACCUUUCGCAUCAUAAUCUGAUCUACAUUCAUGGUGUUCUGUUUAGAUUUGGGUGGUACGCUUGUGAUGGUGUCUAUAGAUUUUCUGUGAAUACAUUUGGAUAUGUGGGGAUUGAAAAUCGGUAUUUCUACAAAAUUGCAAUUUUCCACCGUACUGCCAAUUAUUGGAUGGCAAUUCCUGAACAAUUAUGUGCAGAUCUAGAUGAUGGUGAUAUAAAAUUUUUAAAUAUGCAUUACGUAGAGAUGUCACAAGAACAGUUGAUGAGUUUUUCCAAAGGAGGUGGUGGGUUUAGUUACAUCGUCCAAAUAAUUGACCGCGGAAUGUAAUGGUAUAUAUCCUCACACGCUUCAAUUUGGUAAGGUUUCGUAAUUAUCUUCUUCACAAAUAAGCUGAGUUUUGUCCUGCUUUUUUGCUACAUUGCAGCAGUCCAGAGAUUUGUCCUUCCAUUAUCAAAAAUUUGUCAUUAUAGUUUCUUUUUCGAAUAAAUGUUACAGUUGAUUAA